UACGUAGGGUGCGAGCGUUGUCCGGAAUUAUUGGGCGUAAAGAGCUCGUAGGCGGUGUGUCACGUCGGCCGUGAAAACCUGCAGCUUAACUGUGGGCGUGCGGUCGAUACGGGCAUCACUGGAGUUCGGCAGGGGAGACUGGAAUUCCUGGUGUAGCGGUGAAAUGCGCAGAUAUCGGAAGGAACACCGGUGGCGAAAGCGGCGCGCUGGACCUCUUCUGACGCUGAGGCG
rnacentral:rRNA from 1 species